GACGAACGCUGGCGGCGUGCUUAACACAUGCAAGUCGAACGGAAAGGCCCUGCUUUUGUGGGGUGCUCGAGUGGCGAACGGGUGAGUAACACGUGAGUAACCUGCCCUUGACUUUGGGAUAACUUCAGGAAACUGGGGCUAAUACCGGAUAGGAGCUCCUGCUGCAUGGUGGGGGUUGGAAAGUUUCGGCGGUUGGGGAUGGACUCGCGGCUUAUCAGCUUGUUGGUGGGGUAGUGGCUUACCAAGGCUUUGACGGGUAGCCGGCCUGGGAGGGUGACCGGCCACAUUGGGACUGAGAUACGGCCCAGACUCCUACGGGGGGCAGCAGGGGGGAAUAUUGCACAAUGGGCGGAAGCCUGAUGCAGCAACGCCGCGUGCGGGAUGACGGCCUUCGGGUUGUAAACCGCUUUCGCCUGUGACGAAGCGUGAGUGACGGUAAUGGGUAAAGAAGCACCGGCUAACUACGUG
rnacentral:rRNA from 1 species